ACGCUCGACACCUACGGGGGGCAGCAGUGGGGAAUAUUGCACAAUGGGGGAAACCCGUGAUGCAGCGACGCCGCGUGGAGGAAGAAGGUCUUCGGAUUGUAAACUCCUGUUGUUGGGGAAAAAGAGGAUGGUACCCAACAAGGAAGUGACGGCUAACUACGUGCCAGCAGCCGUGGUAAUCUGAGCGGGCUGGCAAGGC
rnacentral:rRNA from 1 species